GGGGCGACGUCUCUUCGGAGGCUAGUAGAGUGGCGCACGGGUGAGUAACGCGUAAGUAACCUGUCCUGGCAUUCGGGAUAACCCACCGAAAGGUGUGCUAAUACCGGAUACGUCGUGGUUAAUAUCUUUUAUCACGAGAAAGGUGGCCUCUGGUUUAAGCUACUGUGCGAGGAGGGGCUUGCGUACCAUUAGCUAGUCGGUAGGGUAACGGCCUACCGAGGCGACGAUGGUUAGCGGGUCUGAGAGGAUGAUCCGCCACACUGGAACUGGAACACGGACCAGACUCCUACGGGAGGCAGCAGUGAGGAAUAUUGCGCAAUGGGGGCAACCCUGACGCAGCGACGCCGCGUGGAUGAUGAAGGCCUUCGGGUUGUAAAAUCCUGUCAGAUGGGAAGAAAUGACAAUUACCCAAUACGUAAUUGUUUUGACGGUACCAUCAAAGGAAGCACCGGCUAACUCCGUGCCAGCAGCCGCGGUAAUACGGAGGGUGCAAGCGUUGUUCGGAAUUACUGGGCGUAAAGCGCGCGUAGGCGGCUAUUUAAGUCAGAUGUGAAAGCCCGCGGCUCAACCGUGGAAGUGCAUUUGAAACUGGGUAGCUUGAGUACUGGAGGGGGUAGUGGAAUUCCCGGUGUAGAGGUGAAAUUCGUAGA
rnacentral:rRNA from 1 species